GCAGCUACUAUGGAAAACGAGCCAUGUGAAUGAACUACUGCUUAUCUUGGUGCUAGAGGUGCCCUGCUGCUGGAUUAAUUGGCACCAAAACUAGACCUUUUUUUCACCAUUCUUCUUCUUGAUUACUCGAACCUUUCUGGUUGAAGAGCAAAAGAUUGUAAAGAAAGUUCUAAAGAUUCACAAGGCCGAAGAGAAACUGUCAUCAAAGAGUUAGAUUACCGACAACAUCAAGAUGCCAAGAUUAAAAUUGAAGGCUAUGAAAGUGAUCCGAUCUGAAACAAAAUCCAGUCAAAAUGCGGGUACAUCUAAUGAAGGUGGGAUAUCAUCUGCUCAAAUGCAUGAUGCUCAACCUCGCACCUCAACUAAUUCAUCAGAUACUAAUUCAAACCACAAUGGAGAUGAUGAAAACCAAGACCAUGUUAACAUACUUGAAAAUACCAGUGGUUCGGUUAAUGUAAACACAGUUGACAAUGUGGGACGCCAUAAAGGAAGAGGGCGAACAGCUUUGAAGGAGUUGUGGGUACUGCCUCCAGAAGAUAAAGUAUUGGUCAGUGCAAAUCGGCAUGGACAACCAAUUGGGCCCGAGGCACAAUUGUUCUCUUCAUUCUUAGGUAUGAUCGCUCGCUCUAGCCAGAAGAUUGGUCUUCAAUAUGAGAGUUAGCAUAAAGUGCCAAAAACAUUGAAGGAUGAACUUUUAAACUUCAUUGAGAUGCGCUUUGUUCUUGAAAUCCCAAAAGACUAUGUGCUUAAGUCUUUGGGAAAGAAAUGGAGGGACUACAAACAUGAUUUGAAGAAAAAAUAUUUCAAAAGAGAGGAUGGGCUGCAAGCAAAUAAUGAAAAGCAUCCAGAAGGGACCAUUACAUGGCAAUGGGAAGAGUUAGUUGACCUCUGGUAUUCGAGGAAACGGGAGGAAUCAGAACAAGUUGGGGUUUCCUCGAGAAAGCAACUAAAGUAUACACACACUUCUAGUUCAAAAAGUUUUGUGAUAAAAGAAAAAAAAAUGGAGCUUAGAAAUGGAAAGAAAAUAUGACGUUUUGAGUUUUUCAAAGCGACCCAUACUAAAAAAGAUGGAUCAUAUUUGAAUAAAGAGACAGAAGAUAUUAUGGAAAAGGCGAAUGAAAAACUAGCUGUAUAUGAAUCAAUAGAUGGAGAUGAGGGAAUGGUUGAAACAGAAAUUUUGACUCAGGUGAUUUUAAAAGAGCGACAUGGCCGAGUAAGAGGGCUUGGAUUGGGUCCUACACCUACAACAUAUUACGGCCAUUUAAGUAGUCGUCGUCUUGCAACCUGUGGUGGUCAUUCAUUUGAAUGCAUAGAUUUUCGCCAACAGAUGGAUGAAAAGUUCCAAAAGAUGGAAGAUGAGCUUGGGCGAGAAUGUGCUAAUUACAAUGCUCUAUAUACUUUCUUGCAACAACAAUUCCCAGGAGCAACUAUCCCCCCGCCUACCAUAGUUGGAUCAUCUUCUCAAUCGCAGAAUCAAUGCAUUGGAUCUCAGAACCCUAAGGCCAACACAACCGGGUCUAGUGUGCAUGUUCAGAAUCAGCCUUCUCCAGAACAUUGAUGCCCUCUCUUAGGAGGUUCGAUGAUGAAGACCGAUGAAUGUUUGAUUUUUCCCCACUUGUUUAUGUGAACUUUGAUGGUCUUGAUGUCUCUAUGAGAUUUUGUCACAAUUUUACCUAUCAUAUUUUGUUAAAUACUUGUGUUUGUGAAUGAGAUUAUUCAAGAUCUCUCUAAGUUUUGAUUUAUAUAUCUGUGGCAUUCAAACA